GGGCCGCGCGUCCCUCCGUUGGUCCGUCGGUGCAUCCGUCCACGCACCGGUUCGUCCAUACGUUUGACGGACACUUAGUGAGCCCCCGCCAGGUGCAGGGCCGCCAAAGGUGGAGGAAGACAGAAAAUCAUCGUGGGAACAAAGACGCCUUCACCAGUUAGAUGGGUUGGACACGCGGAGCAGACACUCGCGUGGAUCCGGGUAGUUUGGACACUGGAGCUUCUGCAGCUGUGCCGCUUUGGCGUGUUGCUCCUGGCCAGCAUGUCUCCUGCCCAGAGAGAUUAAUGGAAGAUUCAGUCAGGAUGGGUCUGGGGGACCCAGUCUCCAUUCAAUUCAAGGGGCUGCGAGCUGACAUAUCAGAGAAGCCACCCUGGGACCUUCUGCUGAAAUCAGAGACUAUUUCGAUGGCAGUGUCCUCCCCAAAACAGUCUGCCCUGAAUGCUGGCUUUGGCAUUAUUGCUGCUGGACCCUCAGGAUUAUGCUGUUAAACUCUUUUUUUUUUACAUUGUUGUGUGUGUUGUUGUUGUUUUUUUUUAAUUGAAGGUCCCUUACUGGUCCUGUUUCCAUGAGUGCCAAGACCAGGGGAAAAGGGGAGGCAGCGCAAGGAAGGGUCAUCUCCACAACAUUCCAUUUAUACACAGAACUAAACAGACAAGCACAGAGUCACUAUUGCAGUUAGAAGUUGGCAGCAUAGGAAAAGGGAGGAACAGGUGGGGAACUGGGGUGUCAUUAAAAAAAUACAGGCUCCCCCAAACUGGGGUGCCUGGGGGGAACUUGGUCUGCUUCAACCCAAGAGGAAUCAGAAGAUCAAAAAUGUUUUGAGAAAGACAGAACUGUCAGGGAUAGAGGGAGGAGGAAGGUCCAGGGGGUGAGGGGGCUGUUUGGCAACUGGGGUGAAGGGAUUGCCCUCCCGCUGCUGGGAUCCCCCCAGCCCCUCCAGUCUGGCAGGAAGGGGGCAGGCUACAACCCCCAUGGGCAGGUCUGGGGCUGCCAGAUGCUCCAGGCAGGGGGCUGGAGGGGGCUCACAAAGGCUUGCCCUCCAGAGAGAUGACGGCACUGCCCCCCAGUUUCUCUGCCAGGGUGCAGCGGUCCUUGACCUCCUCAUAGCAGUUUGCUUGUAACUCAUGCUUGAUCCCUGUGAGGAAGAAGGGGAGCAUCUGUGAGCAGGAUGCAUUGGGGGAAGGGAAGUCAGGGCUGGGAAGGAGCCAAUCAGAACAGAUGGAAGGGACAAGGUUACCUUCUAGCAGGCAGGGAAGAGGAGGGGGAGGAAUCUCAUAUACCACGGCAUUCAUCCCACCCUACAGCCAAAGCCUGAGUGAAAAGGUGNAUUUUGCCCUUAAGGGGUGCAGACUUGGGUGCUCAGAAGAUAAACACCAGGUCCUCCUUCUUGCUCUCCCUGGUCUCAUAGGUGCGUCAUAGAGGGCAUAGCGGCAGUCCUUGUCUGGUAGAUAGCAUCUUGACAAAGGUGGCGUAGGGGUCAUCUACAGU
rnacentral:lncRNA from 1 species